rnacentral:tRNA from 2 species
GCCGGAGUGGCUCAGUGGUAGAGCGCUUCAAUGGUAAUGAAGAGGGCGUGAGUUCGAUUCUCACCUCCGGCU